rnacentral:misc_RNA from 1 species
UUGUCGUGGAUAUCCACGACUCGUCUGAAAUGCCUGAGUGUAUCCCGCUUUGCGGCGUAUUCGGUGUGAUACAUCUUCACCGGAGUUGAUCCCUUUGGGUCACGUCUAUAUGAGUGUGGCUCUAUGCUUCCAACCGUCUUCCAGGAGACAAUUUCUGACAAUUUGACCUCAAAUCGGGUGGGACUACCCGCUGAACUUAA